rnacentral:rRNA from 1 species
CAAUAGCGUAUAUUUAAGUUGCUGCAGUUAAAAAGCUCGUAGUUGGAUUUCGGGUGGGAAUGGCCGGUCCGCCGUUUCGGUGUGCACUUGCUACGCCCACCUUGCUGCCGGGGACGUGCUCUUGAGUUCACGCUCGGGACACGGAGUCGGCGAGGUUACUUUGAGUAAAUUAGAGUGUUCAAAACAGGCCUACGCUCUGAAUACAUUAGCAUGGAAUAACACGAUAGGACUCUGGCCUAUCUUGUUGGUCUGUAGGACCGGAGUAAUGAUUAAGAGGGACAGUCGGGGGCACUCGUAUUUCAUUGUCAGAGGUGAAAUUCUUGGAUUUAUGAAAGACGAACUACUGCGAAAGCAUUUGCCAAGGAUGUUUUCAUUAA